GCGAACGCUGGCGGCAGGCCUAACACAUGCAAGUCGAGCGCCCGGGCAACCGGGAGCGGCAGACGGGAGAGUAACACGUGGGAACGUACCCUUCAGUUCGGAACAACCCAGGGAAACUUGGGCUAAUACCGAAUACGUCCGUAAGGAGAAAGAUUUAUCGCUGAAGGAUCGGCCCGCGUCUGAUUAGCUAGUUGGUGAGGUAACGGCUCACCAAGGCGACGAUCAGUAGCUGGUCUGAGAGGAUGAUCAGCCUCAUUGGGACUGAGACACGGCCCAAACUCCUACGGGAGGCAGCAGUGGGGAAUAUUGGACAAUGGGCGCAAGCCUGAUCCAGCCAUGCCGCGUGGGUGAUGAAGGCCCUAGGGUUGUAAAGCCCUUUCGGCGGGGAAGAUAAUGACGGUACCCGCAGAAGAAGCCCCGGCUAACUUCGU
rnacentral:rRNA from 1 species